rnacentral:rRNA from 1 species
UACACUCCUACGGGAGGCAGCAGUGGGGAAUUUUGGACAAUGGGCGAAAGCCUGAUCCAGCCAUGCCGCGUGCAGGAUGAAGGCCUUCGGGUUGUAAACUGCUUUUGUACGGAACGAAACGGCCUUUUCUAAUAAAGAGGGCUAAUGACGGUACCGUAAGAAUAAGCACCGGCUAACUACGUGCCAGCAGCCGCGGUAAUACGUAGGGUGCAAGCGUUAAUCGGAAUUACUGGGCGUAAAGCGUGCGCAGGCGGUUAUGUAAGACAGUUGUGAAAUCCCCGGGCUCAACCUGGGAACUGCAUCUGUGACUGCAUAGCUAGAGUACGGUAGAGGGGGAUGGAAUUCCGCGUGUAGCAGUGAAAUGCGUAGAUAUGCGGAGGAACACCGAUGGCGAAGGCAAUCCCCUGGACCUGUACUGACGCUCAUGCACGAAAGCGUGGGGAGCAAACAGGAUUAGAAACCCCAGUAGUCCCA